rnacentral:rRNA from 1 species
ACCAGACGAUGCGGUUACCGCGGCUGCUGGCACGGAGUUAGCCGGUGCUUCUUCUGUGAGUGAUGUCCUUCCUGCCGGCUAUUAACCCGCAGGCCUUCUUCCUCACUGAAAGUGCUUUACAACCCGAAGGCCUUCUUCACACACGCGGCAUGGCUGGAUCAGGGUUGCCCCCAUUGUCCAAUAUUCCCCACUGCUGCCUCCCGUAGGAGUCUGGGCCGUGUCUCAGUCCCAGUGUGGCUGAUCAUCCUCUCAGACCAGCUACGGAUCGUCGCCUUGGUGAGCCGUUACCUCACCAACCAGCUAAUCCGACAUAGGCUCAUCCGAUAGCGCGAGGCCCGAAGGUCCCCCGCUUUCCCCCGUAGGGCGUAUGCGGUAUUAGCCUGGGUUUCCCCAGGUUAUCCCCACUACCGGGCAGAUUCCUAUGCAUUACUCACCCGUCCGCCGCUCGCCACCAGGGAGCAAGCUCCCCGUGCUGCCGAUCGACUUGCAUGUGUUAGGCCUGCCGCCAGCGUUCAAU